rnacentral:sRNA from 1 species
GUCAGGGAAGGUGGUGUACACCUGUAGUCCCAGCUACUCAGGAGGCUGAGCAGGAGAAUCAUUUGGGGCCCAGGGGAGUUUGAAGCCAGUUUGGGCAACACAGUGAGACCCUGACUCAA